rnacentral:rRNA from 1 species
UACAGAGGUCUCAGCGUUGUUCGGAUUCAUUGGGCGUAAAGGGUGCGUAGGCGGCGCGGUAAGUCGGGUGUGAAAUCUUGGAGCUUAACUCCGAAACUGCAUUCGAUACUGCCGUGCUUGAGGACUGGAGAGGAGACGUGGAAUUUACGGUGUAGCGGUGAAAUGCGUAGAUAGUCGAUAAGGAAGACCAGUGGCGAAGCGGGUCUCUGGACG